rnacentral:snRNA from 1 species
GCCCUCCUUCCAACAACACAUACACUAAAAUUGGAACAAUACAGAGAUUAGCACGGCCCCUGCACAAGGAUGACAUACAAAUUCAUGAAUCAUUCCGUAUUUUU